rnacentral:tRNA from 1 species
GGCGGCGUAGCUCAGCUGGCAGAGCACACGGCUCAUAUCCGUUAGGUCAUUGGUUCAAUCCCAAUCGCCGCUA